CUUGAAAAAUGUAUACUAUCAUACAAUAUAAAUAUUGUGUUGACUUAAUAACUUGAAAUAUAUUUAUUAUAAUAGUUGAUUAAAAAUAUACAAUUUUGUAUAGUAUGGUCAAAAGGACAAAUCCACCUCUCAUGUAUUUUUAGAGGAUGCCAUGGAUGCCAAGUUAAUUAUAUUUUAAACAGUGGUGUAACUAGAAGAAAUAGGGCUUUUAAUUGUUUCAUGUUUAUGUUACUUUAUUAUGAUGUAUGUAAAUAAAAUCAUGUAUUUUUUCAUAUUUAAUUGACUAAGUAGUAUAUUUUAAAAUUAAUAGACAAACUAUAAUCUUAAGUUCUUUUUUUUCCCCUUACAUUGAAAGAUCCUGGCCACACCACUGAUUAAAAGGUUUAUAUGUAAGAUAUACAGAAACAUACAAGUAACAUCUCAAGUUUUUUU